AUUAGCGAACAAAGGGCGGAUGGUGGAUGCCUAGACUGUAAGAGGCGAUGAAGGACGUACUAGGCUGCGAUAAGCCUCGGGGAGCUGCCAAGAAGCUUUGAUCCGAGGAUUUCCGAAUGGGGCAACCCAACUAUCUGCGAAGAUAGUUACCACCUUCUGGUGGGGCGAACUCAGGGAAGUGAAACAUCUCAGUACCUGAAGGAAGAGAAAUCAACCGAGAUUCCCUUAGUAGCGGCGAGCGAAAGGGGAACAGCCCGAGUCUAUGUAGCUUAUGAGAUAAUCGAAUAGCUUGGAAAAGCUAACUAUAGAAGGUGACAGUCCUGUAGAUGAAAUCUUAUAAGUGAGACUAAGUAGACUCCUUACGAGUAGGUCGGGACACGUGGAAUCCUGACUGAAUAUGGGGGGACCACCCUCCAAGGCUAAAUACUACUUACAGAUCGAUAGUGUACCAGUACCGUGAGGGAAAGGUGAAAAGAACCGCGGUGAGCGGAGUGAAAUAGAACCUGAAACCAUCUGCCUACAAUCAUUCGGAGCCCCAUAUCCUUUGGAUGGGGUGACGGACUGCCUUUUGCAUAAUGAGCCUGCGAGUUGUGGUUACUAGCGAGGUUAAGCGUAAGCGGAGCCGAAGCGAAAGCGAGUCUGAAUAGGGCGAUUAGUUAGUGGCUGCAGACCCGAAACCAAGUGAUCUAUCCAUGGGCAGGUUGAAGCUGGUGUAAGAGCCAGUGGAGGACCGAACCGGUGGAGGUUUAAAACUCCUCGGAUGACCUGUGGAUAGGGGUGAAAGGCCAAUCAAACUUGGUGAUAGCUGGUUCUUUGCGAAAUAUAUUUAGGUAUAGCCUCGUGUUAGAAGCAUAAGGGGGUAGAGCACUGAUUCGGCUAGGGCCUACACCAAGGUACCAAACCGAGUCAAACUCCGAAUACCUUAUGUGGAUUCACGGGAGUCAGGUGGCGGGUGAUAAAAUCCGUCAUCGAGAGGGAAACAGCCCAGACUACCAGCUAAGGUCCCAAAGUCUUACUUGAGUGGAAAAGGAGGUGGGGUUGCUUAGACAACCAGGAGGUUGGCUUAGAAGCAGCCAUCCUUUAAAGAAAGCGUAACAGCUCACUGGUCUAGCGAUCCUGCGCCGAAAAUAUAACGGGGCUAAAGUAAGCACCGAAGCUGUAGGUUCAUACUGGUGUAUGAGCGGUAGCAAAGCGUUCUAUAUGCUGUGAAGCCAUACUGGUGAAGAGUGGUGGAGCGUAUAGAAGUGAGCAUGCAGGCAUGAGUAGCGAUAAAAUAGGUGAGAAUCCUAUUCGCCGAAAGCCCAAGGUUUCCUACACGAUGCUCGUCAGUGUAGGGUUAGUCGGGACCUAAGUCGAGUCCGAAAGGGGUAGACGAUGGAAAAUUGGUUAAUAUUCCAAUACCGACUAUAGCGCGCGAUGGGGGGACGCAUAGGGCUAACCGAGGUCACUGAUGGAAUAGUGGCUCGAAGGGUGUAGGCUGAGAGGUAGGCAAAUCCGCCUCUCAUUAAAGCCGAGACCCGACAGGCUCCCAAAACCCUUCGGGGUGGCGGGAGAAUCGGUGAUGCCGUCGUGCCAAGAAAAGCCUCUAAGUAUAGCUAUAGUUGCCCGUACCGUAAACCGACACAGGUGGGCGAGAUGAGUAUUCUAAGGCGCGUGGAAGAACUCUGGCUAAGGAACUCGGCAAACUGGCACCGUAUCUUCGGUAGAAGGUGUGCCUCGUCGGGUGAAGCCCCUUGCGGGUGGAGCCUGACAGGUUGCAACAAAGAGUCCCAUCCGACUGUUUAUCAAAAACACAGCACUAUGCUAACUCGUAAGAGGAUGUAUAUGGUGUGACGCCUGCCCGGUGCCGGAAGGUUAAGUGAUGGGGUUAGCCCUUUUGGGCGAAGCUCCUGAUCGAAGCCCCGGUAAACGGCGGCCGUAACUAUAACGGUCCUAAGGUAGCGAAAUUCCUUGUCGGUUAAAUACCGACCUGCAUGAAUGGCGUAACGAGAUGGGAGCUGUCUCGGCCAGAGAUCCAGUGAAAUUGUAGUGGAGGUGAAAAUUCCUCCUACCCGCGGCAAGACGGAAAGACCCCGUGGACCUUUACUACAGCUUGGCACUGCAGAUGGGAUAUGGAUGUGCAGGAUAGGUGGGAGGCUUUGAAGCUUGGGCGCUAGCCCAAGUGGAGCCGCCCUUGAGAUACCACCCUUCCAUAUUCUGUCUGCUAACUUGCAUCAGUUAUCCUGAUGGAGGACAAUGCCUGGUGGGUAGUUUGACUGGGGCGGUCGCCUCAUAAAGAGUAACUGAGGCUUACGAAGGUUGGCUCAUACCGGUUGGAAAUCGGUAGUAGAGUAUAAUGGCAUAAGCCAGCCUGACUGAGAGACCUACAAGUCGAUCAGAGACGAAAGUCGGUCAUAGUGAUCCGGUAGUUCUGAGUGGAAGGACUAUCGCUCAAAGGAUAAAAGGUACCCCGGGGAUAACAGGCUGAUCUCCCCCAAGAGCUCACAUCGACGGGGAGGUUUGGCACCUCGAUGUCGGCUCAUCGCAUCCUGGGGCUGAAGGCAGGUCCCAAGGGUAUGGCUGUUCGCCAUUUUAAAGCGGUACGCGAACUGGGUUCCAGAAACGUCGUGGAGAACAGGUUCCGGGUCCCUAUUUGCCGUGGGCCGUUGGAAGGUU
rnacentral:rRNA from 1 species